AUUGAACGCUGGCGGAAUGCUUUACACAUGCAAGUCGAGCGGCAGCGCGGGGCAACCUGGCGGCGAGCGGCGAACGGGUGAGUAACACAUCGGAACGUGCCCAGACGUGGGGGAUAGCCCGGCGAAAGCCGGAUUAAUACCGCAUACGAUCUAAGGAUGAAAGCGGGGGACUCGCAAGGGCCUCGCGCGUUUGGAGCGGCCGAUGGCAGAUUAGGUAGUUGGUGGGGUAAAGGCUUACCAAGCCUGCGAUCCGUAGCUGGUCUGAGAGGAUGAUCAGCCACACUGGGACUGAGACACGGCCCAGACUCCUACGGGAGGCAGCAGUGGGGAAUUUUGGACAAUGGGCGCAAGCCUGAUCCAGCCAUUCCGCGUGCAGGACGAAGGCCUUCGGGUUGUAAACUGCUUUUGUACGGAACGAAAAGGUCUUCUCUAAUACAGAGGGCCCAUGACGGUACCGUAAGAAUAAGCACCGGCUAACUACGUG
rnacentral:rRNA from 1 species